AAAAAUAAAAAAUGCCAACCCUCUCCCCUAUUUGCACGUAUUUGCUUCUCUGGCAUUCUCAUCUCUCAACAGUGCCGCCCCGCAACCUGCAGCAGCCACCAUCACGCAUAGCCUCGGGAGACGCUGUCGUGUACACCGCAAACGCCCGAGCAUCACCGUGGCACAGGUUGCGUCGUUCGCACAACCCUAAACCUGCCAGUCGGAAAAGCCCCUUCCCCAGCCGGUGACGUUUUACCCUCCGAUGUCUUCUUCGUUCCCCUCUUGGACUACAAAAGGUUCUCUAAAAAAUGGAGGUGCACUUGUUUACAAGGCAUGGCAGUAUGGUGAUGGUGUUGUUUCUCUUGGUUUUCUGCUCUUGGAUUCCAAUAGAACUUUCAAGAACCUGUAAUUUUUUGAAAUAUGUGGCAGAGGAUUAACUGAUGGAGGCGUAAAACACAUAAAAGAGAUGACUUCUCUUACACAAAUUAACCUGUCCCAGAAUUACAACUUGACGGAUAAAACUUUGAAAUUGCUUUCUGGAGCUACCAGUGAAAAUGCUACCGUUUCUUCUUCAAGUCCAAGAGUUUUGAGAAUUUGGGUGCUGUUUACUUUGAAUUAUGUCAUUGGAAGAUUAGUAAAAGCCACAGCCACCUUUUGGCCACAAUAGACAUAGUCUAAUCAGUAAAAUAGUCCGAAUGUUCAUCUUAAUAAGAAUUGAGAGCUCAAUAACAAGUUGCAUAGGGAUUGAGAUACAUCAUGUACUAUACUUUAAGCCAUUUAAACUAAGACGGAUGUUCAUUUUACAAUAA